CGAAGCGAGGAUCUGAUAGGGCUUGCGCCGCUGCUCAGGACCACCACGUUUGAUCUUGAUGCUCGUUCGUAGAGAGGAGCCUAGGAUCACUUCCUGCCCUGAGCCCGGUUCCAUGGACGAUAAAGAAUCUGAAAGGAGAUCAAGCCAAGGGAGAGUUUAUUGAAUAGGAGGGGCAGGUAAUGGACACUUGUUUGUUCCACUGCCAAGAGCCCAGCCUUCCUAGCCAGACCUCCAGCACUGGUCUGCUCACAGCCGGAACUAUUUCUAAUUCAAGGUGACAAACAGUCCCGGCCCAGAAGAGUUUACAAUCGAAGACAAGUUGCCAAAAAUAAGCCAUAUAACUAUCAGAAGUCCUCCCUGGCUGUUAUCCGUUGCCAGUUUCACACAGACGGCCCCGUGGGAGUGGAUCUUGCAGAGAGAUUUGAAAGAGGGCAAAGCAGUGCCGUGCUUUAUGGACGAGGCGACGACAAGGGUGCCAGCAGCACUGAAGGAAGUAAAUGGUGCUUAGCCAAGAAGCAUUUGUGUUGGUGCCAAAAGCCCCAACCAACCUCUCAAAGGCACAGAGAGAACAUAAUCGUGAACAGAUUCAAAACAUUUUCCCCUUGCUCUGACCAUUUCUGUAGGAAAAAAUUAUGCAGAGCAAGCUAUGCAUCUGUCAAGGCAUUGAGCCCCAGCUCCAAACCAAGUGAUUUCUCUUUGUUACAUCAGCAGCAGAGAAAACUCUGAUGUGUGAGAAUCAGAAAACCCGCUUUGCCACAGGCCUGUUGUCAGAGGACUGGUGGGGAGGGAAAUGGCUCCAACUGAAUCACUCAAAAUAUUGAGUGCUUCAUUUUAAAUAGUAGGAACACAUGAGCCACUAAGUCAUGUUUCCACAAAUCAGUGUUUUCUGAAUUUUAAUCAGGGGAGUUGCCUGGAUUAUGGAUUUGCAGGCCUGACCCAUUCUAGGGGCCAUCAGACAUGAUGAAUACUAAAAAGGCCAGCUCCUCAGCUGAUGUCAGUGGACUAUGGCGAUUGGACCAGAGCCUCAGCUGCUGUCAAAGACUGCAAUGAGAACAUUUUUGUAGUGGUUACAUGAAGCAGAACACAACACGGCUUGAUCUGCUGCUGAGCUAGGUCUGUAGUGCUGAUAGCUGCAGGUGCUCAGUGUGUAAAACUCAGCCAUUUUAGUCACCUCAUUAUGGAUUUAGGAGCCUAACUUUAGGCACCUACUUUUAAAAAUCAGCUACUGUGCUGAACCAGCACUGAGCCCUAGCAUCCAGCAGCUUAUUGAGAGAGAGCAGGUGAAAAGAAGAGUCAUAUAUUCUAGGAGUCUAGAACUAGCCAAUUCUAGAACUGUUAGAGGGAUGUCACUCUGUUCUCACACUAACUUCUCCAGAAAAGCAAUGUUUAGCCCCAGGCUGUGAGACACUCACCAUGAAUUCCUAUCAUAUGCUCUAGA